ACUAGUGAAUAAGGGGUGGGCACGUUCUGGUGUCAGCCGCCGCGGUAAAACCAGCACCUCAAGUGGUCAGGAGGAUUAUUGGGCCUAAAGCAUCCGUAGCCGGCUCUGUAAGUUUUCGGUUAAAUCCAUGUGCUCAACGCAUGGGCUGUCGAAAAUACUGCAUCGCUAGGGAGUGGGAGAGGUAGACGGUCCUCGGUAGGAAGGGGUAAAAUCCUUUGAUCUAUCGAUGACCACCUGUGGCGAAGGCGGUCUACCAGAACACGUUCGACGGUGAGGGAUGAAAGCUGGGGGAGCAAACCGGAUUAGAUACCCGGGUAGUCCCAGCUGUAAACGAUGCAGACUCGACUGAUGCAUUGGCAUAUAGCCAGUGCAGUGUCGCAGGGAAGCCGUUAAGUCUGCCGCCUGGGAAGUACGUACGCAAGUACGAAACUUAAAG
rnacentral:rRNA from 1 species